UUUGCAAGAAAAGUUGGCUAAGAUUCAAGGAAGUCGAGAUUCCAAUGAAGAUAAACUUGUGGAAGAAAGGUCUAAGAAUUCUCCAAUGAAAGGUGGGAUGGUCUUACUUUUUGAACCACCUUAUCAGUAACAUUUCAGGAUGUGAAGUACUAUGUUGACGUCCCUGGGAGAAGAAGAAACUCCAACUACUUUCUGAUGUUACCAGUGCAUUAAGGCCUGGUGUUCACACAGCAUUAAUGGGUGUUAGUGGAGCUGGAAAAUCCACUCUUACUAGAUUGUAUGGCGGGAAGAAAAACUACUGGCCAUAUCGAGGGGGCAAAUAAACUUCCUGAAUUUCCUCAUUGUUUCCCGGCUCUUGUCCUAUAAGUUGAUUGCAAGCCAUACAAAAAGUAAACAUUCAAUUCCUUGUAGUUCAAUUCCGUUAAACCAAAUAGAGAGGGAUUGACCUCAUCAAAUGAGCAUAUAUGGAAGCUCAUUAGAUGACACUCAUCAAAAAAUUUAAAUCUAGCAGUUUAACACUUAACAAGAAAGCAUUUUGAUAAAUAGUUGCGUGUGAAGGCUAGCGUUCACCAUGGCUGGCAUUUUGUAACCAAGGAUGUUCUGCAUUUAAGGAGCAAACAGUAGUAAACAUUUAAUUCUCAUAUUUCAAUUAAAAAUGUUUGCAAAUAGUAGUGAAGUUGCAGAGCAUAAGGCUGUAAACAUAAAGCAUCACUAUUCAAUUAAACCGAAUGUUUUCUAGCACUUGUUAAUC